UGCGUAGGCGGCGCGGAAAGUUGGGUGUGAAAUCCCUCGGCUUAACCGAGGAAUGGCGCCCAAAACUACCGUGCUUGAGGAAGACAGAGGUGAGCGGAACUCAGGGUGGAGCGGUGAAAUGCGUUGAUAUCCUGAGGAACACCGGUGGCGAAAGCGGCUCACUGGGUCUUCUCUGACGCUGAGGCACGAAAGCUAGGGUAGCGAACG
rnacentral:rRNA from 1 species